rnacentral:rRNA from 1 species
UACAGAGGGGGCAAGCGUUAUUCGGAAUUAUUGGGCGUAAAGGGCGCGUAGGCGGCUUGGCAAGUGGAUGGUGAAAUCCCUCGGCUUAACCGAGGAACUGCCGUCCAAACUGCUUCGCUUGAGACCGGGAGAGGUGAGUGGAAUUCCCAGUGUAGCGGUGAAAUGCGUAGAUAUUGGGAGGAACACCAGUGGCGAAGGCGGCUCACUGGACCGGUACUGACGCUGAGGAGCGAAAGCGUGGGGAGCGAACAGG